CACGUAGGGUGCGAGCGUUGUCCGGAAUUAUUGGGCGUAAAGAGCUCGUAGGCGGUGUGUCACGUCGGCCGUGAAAACCUACAGCUUAACUGUGGGCGUGCGGUCGAUACGGGCAUCACUGGAGUUCGGCAGGGGAGACUGGAAUUCCUGGUGUAGCGGUGAAAUGCGCAGAUAUCAGGAGGAACACCGGUGGCGAAGGCGGGUCUCUGGGCCGAUACUGACGCUGGAGGAGCGAAAGCCGUGGGGAGCGAACAGG
rnacentral:rRNA from 1 species